rnacentral:tRNA from 1 species
AUUUAAGUAUUUUAUAUAAAAAAUAUAGGUUUGUGGUUCCUAAGAAGUUAGUUAAUAAACCUACCUUAGAUU